CAGCAAUAUGUUUCUGCUUCUGUGAACCAUCAGAGUCUUAGGUUUACAGAGAAAAGAAAUUUUUUGCUUGCUGGCUAGUUGUUCACCUGCAUUUACAUGCAGUGUUAGCUUUAAAUUCAGCACCUUUCUGUUAUUGGGCUAGUCUGAUGAAAUGAAUUUCCGAUUUUUUCAGCCUGAGAACCUCAUCAUGGAAAACAUUUUUGGUUGCAAGUCAUACAGAUUGGAUGAUUGACAACCUUGCUGCCUCUGACAUCACUUCUGGUAUCCGUCCCCAUGAACACACUUCUUUCUGCCUGGCUGGCAUUUAACCGGAAGUUGCACUUCUUAUCAUAGCUUCUCUGCAGAAGACUCUGGAGCUGUUCUUUUACAUGAUGGAAUGCCAGCUCAUACCAUGCAUGAUUCCCAUGCUGUUAUCGCUUUUACGGUACAAUUGAAAUAUGACAAAGGAUUAUGAAAAUUAUGGUGGUAUGGAUCGUGGACUAUCUUCCAGACAGACCUCAGUAUGUGUGUCUCAGGAACUGCAGGUCUGAC